GGAAACCCGACCUCCCACCCCUUGUGAUGUUGACCCUGUUGCCUCGGCGGACCGUGGCGCUGGGCUGCCCAGUGUCUGGCCGCCAGAGGGCCCCCCCAACCCAAUCUCCUGUGUUGUCUGAGCCGAAUAGAAAUAAUGAAAACUUUCAACAACGGAUCUCUUGGUUCUGGCAUCGAUGAAGAACGCAGCGAAAUGCGAUAAGUAAUGUGAAUUGCAGAAUUCAGUGAAUCAUCGAAUCUUUGAACGCACAUUGCGCCCCCCGGCAUUCCGGGGGGCAUGCCUGUUUGAGCGUCAUCUCAACCCUCACGCCUGGCGUGGUCUUGUGCGUCCCGGCUGUGCCGGGUGCAUCAAAGAUAGUGGCGGUGCUGCCAGGUGCCGAGCGUAGUAUGUGUGUAGCAAUCGCUAUGGUGCCCUGGUGGGCCCCAGCCAACUCAACUCCUCCAUCAGUUU
rnacentral:rRNA from 1 species